rnacentral:rRNA from 1 species
CACGCAGGCGGUCUGUCAAGUCGGAUGUGAAAUCCCCGGGCUCAACCUGGGAACUGCAUUCGAAACUGGCAGGCUAGAGUCUUGUAGAGGGGGGUAGAAUUCCAGGUGUAGCGGUGAAAUGCGUAGAGAUCUGGAGGAAUACCGGUGGCGAAGGCGGCCCCCUGGACAAAGACUGACGCUCAGGUGCGAAAGCGUGGGAAGCAAACA